rnacentral:rRNA from 1 species
CCUACGGGGUGCAGCAGUGGGGAAUAUUGGGCAAUGGGCGCAAGCCUGACCCAGCAACGACGCGUGAAGGAAGAAGGCGUGCGGGUUGUAAACUUCUUUUCUCAGGGACGAAGCAAGUGACGGUACCUGAGGAAUAAGACACGGCUAACUACGUGCCAGCAGCCGCGGUAAUACGUAGGUGGCAGGCGUUAUCCGGAUUUACUGGGUGUAAAGGGCGUGUAGGCGGGGACGCAAGUCAGAUGUGAAAACCACGGGCUCAACCUGUGGCCUGCAUUUGAAACUGUGUUUCUUGAGUACUGGUGAGGCAGACGGAAUUCCUAGUGUAGCGGUGAACUGCGUAGAUAUUAGGAGGAACACCAGUGGCGAAGGCGGUCUGCUGGACAGCAACUGACGCUGAGGCGCGAAAGCGUGGGGAGCAAACAGGAUUAGAUACCCCUGUAGUC